GGAGUUAGCCGGUGCUUCUUCUGUGAGUGAUGUCCUUCCUGCCGGCUAUUAACCCGCAGGCCUUCUUCCUCACUGAAAGUGCUUUACAACCCGAAGGCCUUCUUCACACACGCGGCAUGGCUGGAUCAGGGUUGCCCCCAUUGUCCAAUAUUCCCCACUGCUGCCUCCCGUAGGAGUCUGGGCCGUGUCUCAGUCCCAGUGUGGCUGAUCAUCCUCUCAGACCAGCUACGGAUCGUCGCCUUGGUGAGCCGUUACCUCACCAACCAGCUAAUCCGACAUAGGCUCAUCCGAUAGCGCGAGGCCCGAAGGUCCCCCGCUUUCCCCCGUAGGGCGUAUGCGGUAUUAGCCUGGGGUUUCCCCAGGUUAUCCCCCACUACCGGGCAGAUUCCUAUGCAUUACUCACCCGUCCGCCGCUCGCCACCAGGGAGCAAGCUCCCCGUGCUGCCGCUCGACUUGCAUGUGUUAGGCCUGCCGCCAGCGUUCAAUCUGAGCCAUAAUCAAACUCUGA
rnacentral:rRNA from 1 species